rnacentral:lncRNA from 1 species
GCCAAUCAGUGGGAACUCGUUGGUUGCUAAGACGCAGUUGAGUUUGCUCCACCCACACUUAGGACGUUAGCCAAUGAGAACCUUUACUUUGGAUGGUUGCAGCGAAACCAGUGAGGUUACUGCCAACGCUGGGGUGUCUUAGCGCAUGCGCAGAUUGGGGAAGGUUCUGGAAGACGGCGGAGCUUCCGCCAUUUUACGGGAAGAGGAGCAGCUCUACCUGCAUUGCUGCUUUUCUUGCCUAGACUCUAGGAAAUAUCCGAACUUCACUUCCCACAACAUACCGAAAGCAACGGAGAGAACCGGGACCCCCCUGCGGGGAACUGGAACUGCAGUGGAGUCUACCUGCUGGCUUGUGCUGUGACGAGGUCUAGGAACUGACGUGAUUGUGGGUCUCUAAUGCUGUUUUUGGAGCAGGAUGGAAGAAAACACGAUAUUCUGUAUGUGGAUGAGAUUGAGUGGACCUUGACCCAUAAGUUGGGACAUGAAGGUAGAGUUUGAAAACUACCAGCCUGGGCCGGGCGCGGUGGCUCAUGCCUGUAAUCCCAGCACUUUGGGAGGCCGAGGCAGGCGGAUCACGAGGUCAGGAGAUCGAGACCAUCCUGGCUAACAUGGUGAAACCCAGUCUCUACUAAAAAUACAAAAAAAAAAAAAAAAAAAGGAAAAAACUGCCAGCCUGAAAAUGCAUAGUGUUUGCUACCUUAUUGCUUUUAGGACUUCUAGAAAGACACUAAACCCAGUGAGAUUGCAAGUUUCAAAAUACUGUAUUGUGUAUGUCUGCUUAAAUAGAUGUAUUUGUUUCUGAGUGAAAACUUUUUACAUAGAGGUUUAUUUGUAGAGGCUUGUAAACUUAAGUGAAAGUUUUAGUGUGUGUGUUAAGUUGUUCCUUACCCUGCAUUAGCACUCAACAACGAGCAGUUCUUGAAAUCAAGCAUUUCAUUUGGAGGGGAAAAGGCAGAUUGUAAAAAAUAGUUUAUAACAGAAAAUUUGUGUAGACUUGGCAGCCAAAAUGACUGAAACAGCUUGAGUAUCAAAAACUUUUCUUUUUAAGCCGGGCUCGGUGGCUCAUGCCUGUAAUCCCAGCACUUUGGGAGGCCGAGGCAGGCGGAUCACCUGAGGUCAGGAGUUCGAGACCAGCCUGACCAACAUGGAGAAACCCCCGUCUCUACUAAAAAUACAUUAACUGGGUGUGGUGGUGUGUGCCUGUAAUCCCAGCUACUCAGGAGGCUAAGACAGGAGAAUUGCUUGAACCUGGGAGGUAGAGGUUUCAGUGAGCCGAGAUUGAACCAUUGUACUCCAGCCUGGGCAACAAGAGUGAAACUCUGUCUCAAAAAAAAAAAAAAACAAAACUUUUCUUUUUAGAA